rnacentral:rRNA from 1 species
UACGGAGGGUGCAAGCGUUAUCCGGAUUUACUGGGUUUAAAGGGUGUGUAGGCGGAUUUUUAAGUCAGUGGUGAAAUCUCCGGGCUCAACCCGGAAACUGCCAUUGAUACUAUUUAUCUUGAAUUCUGUUGAGGUGGGCGGAAUACAUCAUGUAGCGGUGAAAUGCUUAGAUAUGAUGUAGAACACCGAUUGCGAAGGCAGCGCACUAGCCAGACAUUGACGCUGAGGCACGAAAGCGUGGGGAUCAAACAGG